AACGCUGGCGGCGCGCUUAACACAUGCAAGUCGCACGAGAAAGUGGAGCAAUCCAUGAGUACAGUGGCGUACGGGUGAGUAACACGUGGAUUAUCUACCUUCUAGUGGGGAAUACCUCCGGGAAACUGGAGACAAUACCGCAUAAGCUCGUAAGAGGAAAGCAGCAAUGCGCUGGAAGAGGAGUCCGCGGCUGAUUAGCUAGUUGGCGGGGUAAUGGCCCACCAAGGCGAAGAUCGGUAGCCGGCCUGAGAGGGCACACGGCCACACUGGCACUGAAACACGGGCCAGACUCCUACGGGAGGCAGCAGUGGGGAAUCUUGCACAAUGGAGGAAACUCUGAUGCAGCGACGCCGCGUGAGCGAUGAAGCCCUUCGGGGUGUAAAGCUCUUUCGACGGGAACGAUAAUGAC
rnacentral:rRNA from 1 species